rnacentral:rRNA from 1 species
GAUGAACGCUAGCUACAGGCUUAACACAUGCAAGUCGAGGGGAAACGAUAGAGAAAGCUUGCUUUUUCUAGGCGUCGACCGGCGCACGGGUGAGUAACGCGUAUCCAACCUGCCCAUCACUUGGGGAUAACCUUGCGAAAGUAAGACUAAUACCCAAUGACGUCUCUAGAAGACAUCUGAAAGGGAUUAAAGAUUUAUCGGUGAUGGAUGGGGAUGCGUCUGAUUAGCUUGUUGGCGGGGUAACGGCCCACCAAGGCGACGAUCAGUAGGGGUUCUGAGAGGAAGGUCCCCCACAUUGGAACUGAGACACGGUCCAAACGCCUACGGGAGGCAGCAGUGAGGAAUAUUGGUCAAUGGACGAGAGUCUGAACCAGCCAAGUAGCGUGCAGGAUGACGGCCCUAUGGGUUGUAAACUGCUUUUAUAAGGGAAUAAAGUGGGAGUCGUGACUCUUUUUGCAUGUACCUUAUGAAUAAGGACCGGCUAAUUCCGUGCCAGCCGCCGCCGUAAGAC